ensembl:lncRNA novel transcript
CGCUCAGGCAGUUCUCUUAAGAAAUGAUGAACUGCUCUAUUGGCAGCCGCCACAGGAGUUCACAAAGAAGAGGCAUUAGGCUGGCAAGCAGAGCUGGUGGGAUUUACCUUUGACGUAGUGAGCUCCUUGAAGCUACAACAAUGCCAUAUGCAUCCUGUCACAGUGUCUGGUAGAAGCUGCAAAGCCUUCUGGGAGCCUCAUAUCAUCUCCCGUGGGCAGCUGUCUUGUGUCCCUGGGCAGAAUCACUCUUCAAGAAAGCAUCAGCAAGCAUCACAGGAGGCUGAAGCACGAGAAUCACUUAUCUGUAUAAGAAAUAGUGUCAAGAUGAAUUGUUGUGUCCUCAAGGGUAGCAAGCUCUCCCUCAUUCCUUCUCAGAUAUCUUGCAUUACCCUAUUUUACUAACGAAAAAAUAUUCUCUAAUUUAAGCACAAUGGCAUAUUUUAUUUUCCUAAUGAACUACUUUCUGUGAUUUUGGACUAUCCCAUUGCUGAAAUGUUUUAUCUGAUUUUUGAUGCUCUAAUGAUCCCAAUAAAUUAUAAACAUUUUGCA